UCCCUGGAGCUGGAGGGUCUUGGGGCUUCGUUCCCUGGUUUUUAUUCAGUGUUUCCUUUCUAGCAGUCCUGGAACCUGUGUGUACACUCGGAAAUAACAGCUUGCUUUUUUUGGUACUUGAUUUUGGUGGUGUUUCUUCCACAAGGAGGGACGAGGGGAGUCAGUGAUGGUCAGUCUGUUGGUGCAAGGGCUGUGUGUGACUGCAGUGCUGCAGGGCACCCCAAGAGGCACUGCUUCUGAGAUGUAAAACAAUACUGUGGACUUCCUGAAUUCACCUUAGUGGGAGAGGUGAUUCCCUGGGUACAGCUUGUGCCUUCCUGCCUGCCCUGCUUGGGUGUGAGUGUGCUGCUCUUGUAGGGCAGGUCUCUUACUUGUUUCUUACCAGAUACUUUCUUAAGCUCUUUCUCUACGCGAGAAGAGCAUGGGAGAGCUUAGGUGAUGCAGAAGUGGAAGAUGCAUCUGAUCACUCCUGGCAGCAGAGCUGCUGGGAAAUGCUCUGGGAUGAGAGGGGGGAUGGAGAUGCAGCAACUGCCGCAGGAAGUGGAUCCCUUUAUUGGUGCUUGUGGAGGGGCAGCUGCCCUGGUUCUGGCACCAAGCAGCCACUGUGAUUAGCUUUAAGCACAAAACCUGCAUACAAGAAUCUUAAUUGAAUUUGGAGCUCUGUCAUUCACCGUCACGGCAGGCGCCGAACACAGUAAUUAUUAUGCAAAUGGGGCAGAUAGAGAAAUGAUUAAUAAUUGCACAAAUUAGAAAUUAUUGUAAACAUCCUGUGAGUGGUGAUAAGUGCAGGAGGAGGCUGUGAGCGCGGGAGCCGCCUCCGGAUCCUGCAGCCCCAGCGCUUCAUUACUGGGAUCAGCAAACCGUGCACUGGAGCUGUGCAGUGCUUGGGGUGAGUCGGGUUGGAACUCCAUGGAGAAGGUGGCUUUGGGGCUGGGCUCCUCUGUGGAGGAGUCAGGAUACUGCAGCCCUGCUGUGUCUCUCUGGUACCCGGCGCAUCCCUGGUGGCACCAGCAUCCCGGUGCAGCUUCACCCCUGACCAGCCCCAAAAAGCACCUAGUAAUGACUGGUGGCUCCUGCUCCCUCCGAGCUGCUUUGUCUGGCAUUUGCUGCUAAUUGCACAGCACUGUUUCCCCUCUUCCGCUGUUCCGUACUUUUGACAGUGAACACGAUAAUAAUAAUAAUAGGCUUACAGCAGCUAAUAGGCUUACGUGGUGCAUUAUUCGUGUCAAGGACAAGCAAUUAAGCCUGGCCUCACACAGCAUAAUUAGAUUUUUGUUGAUGAGCUCAUGGGUAAUGUGUUUAGUUCAGAUUAAGGGCUUAAAGCGGGUAUGUGACGCUGCUGGACCCCAGGACCCUGCCUGCAGGUCUGGCCGGAGGGGUGGAUGCAGGGAUGGAGGGAUGGAUGGAGAAGGGCUGCUGGGCGCAGCCGGAGCUUCAGACAGCUCUGCCUGUCCUGCAAUCCCAGUCAUGGGUACUCAGAAGGGCCUGAUGUGUGUGUCCCGUGAAGCACAGCGAUGGGGCUGUGGUGGGGUACCCCAGGGCAGAGGGCCCGCAGUUCAUUUUGGAGGAGGAUCGCUUCUCCCGCUGCCUUCAUCCUGCUGCAGGGCUGGAAUGAAUAUCCCAAGAGUGACAGGUUAGUGAUUGUAUAUGCAUAUGUGCACUUUCCCUAAUUAUUCCAUAAUUAGGGACACACGGAGAUAAAAAUUACUAAUAAUAUUUACUCUAGACUCCCUUUUUUUCCAAUAACCUCUCUCUCCUGCUCAUUUGCCGCGUCUUGGUGGAAAUAACUUUGCAGAUCCCAGUUAAUGAAUAUUUGUUAAUGCAAGAGCAUUCCACGCCGGAAUAUCCAGAGGGCAUCCUCUCUCUGCCUUGUAAUCUGUUUCACGAGAUGUUUAAUAUUUAUGGUUGCAGAGCCUCGUGAAUAAAGAGCCACCCGCAAACCCCCAGGAGCUCAGGGGCUGGGGAUA